rnacentral:rRNA from 1 species
UGGACCUCAGAUCAGGCAAGAUUACCCGCUGAGUUUAAGCAUAUC